rnacentral:rRNA from 1 species
AUUAGAUACCCCGGUAGUCCUGGCCGUAAACGAUGGGUACUAGGUGUAGGAGGUAUUGACCCCUUCUGUGCCGGAGUUAACGCAAUAAGUACCCCGCCUGGGGAGUACGACCGCAGGGUUGAAACUCAAAGGAAUUGACGGGGGCCCGCACAAGCGGUGGAGUAUGUGGUUUAAUUCGACGCAACGCGAAGAACCUUACCAGGUCUUGACAUUGAUGGACAGAACUAGAGAUAGUUCCUCUUCUUCGGAAGCCAGAAAACAGGUGGUGCACGGUUGUCGUCAGCUCGUGUCGUGAGAUGUUGGGUUAAGUCCCGCAACGAGCGCAACCCCUAUCUUAUGUUGCCAGCACGUAAAGGUGGGAACUCAUGAGAGACUGCCGCAGACAAUGCGGAGGAAGGCGGGGAUGACGUCAAAUCAUCAUGCCCCUUAUGACCUGGGCUACACACGUACUACAAUGGGAGUUAAUAGACGGAAGCGAGAUCGCGAGAUGGAGCAAACCCGAGAAACACUCUCUCAGUUCGGAUCGUAGGCUGCAACUCGCCUACGUGAAGUCGGAAUCGCUAGUAAUCGCAGGUCAGCAUACUGCGGUGAAUACGUUCCCGGGCCUUGUACACACCGC